GACGAACGCUGGCGGCGUGCUUAACACAUGCAAGUCGAACGGAAAGGCCCUGCUUUUGUGGGGUGCUCGAUUGGCGAACGGGUGAGUAACACGUGAGUAACCUGCCCUUGACUUUGGGAUAACUUCAGGAAACUGGGGCUAAUACCGGAUAUGAGCUCCUGCUGCAUGGUGGGGGUUGGAAAGAUUCGGCGGUUGGGGAUGGUCUCGCGGCUUAUCAGCUUGUUGGUGGGGUAGUUGCUUACCAAGGCUUUGACGGGUAGCCGGCCUGGGAGGGUGACCGGCCACAUUGGGACUGAGAUACGGCCCAGAAUCCUACGGGAGGCAGCAGUGGGGAAUAUUGCACAAUGGGCGGAAGCCUGAUGCAGAAACGCCGCGUGCGGGAUGACGGCCUUCGGGUUGUAAACCGCUUUCGCCUGUGACGAAGCGUGAGUGACGGUAAUGGGUAAAGAAGCACCGGCUAACUACGUG
rnacentral:rRNA from 1 species